AUGAGGGCCUUAUUCUGGAACAUUAGGGGUUUCGGUGCUAGGGGGCGCCGGGAUCAAAUUAAAGAUUUGGUGCGUGGGAAUAAUGUUGAUUUGGUAGGGUUCGUGGAGACUUUCAAAACUUCUUUUUCCCCUCAUGAGUUGUCAUCUAUUGCGGGUAUGGAUAGAUUUGAUUGGCAUGUGUUACCCGCGUCAGGCCAUUCGGGUGGCAUCCUCAUUGGCUCCAAAAGAGAUGUUUUUUAUUUCAUUGCCUUUGAUCACGGUAUUUUUUGGGCUAGCACAGUUGUUUGCCACAAAGCCCUGAAUUUGUUAUGGGAGUUCAUUGUAGUUUAUGGGCCUGCUGAUCAUUCUCUCUCCUCUCUAUUUCUGGACGAGCUCUCUGAAAAGAUUGAGGCUUGUAACCUACCGAUGGUUAUCGGUGGAGACUUCAAUCUCCUUCGUUCCCCUUCUGAUAGAAAUAAUAACAACUUCUCCUGGCCUCUGGCUAAUGCUUUCAAUGACUUUAUCAGUUCUAAUGCCAUCCGCGAGCUUCCUAGGGUUGGAGCCUGCUUCACUUUGUCUAAUCACCAGACUAACCCGAUCAGAUCGGCUCUAGACAGAGUCUUUGUUUGCUCUAGGUGGGACUCGUUAUUUCCCAGGGCCUCCCUCGUCGCCAAAUGUAUUGUGGGUUCAGAUCAUACUCCUCUCCUUAUGGACGAUGGAUCACAGCUUCAUAGACCACCUGCCUGUUUCUAG
rnacentral:rRNA from 1 species